rnacentral:rRNA from 1 species
UACGGGGGGGGCAAGCGUUGUUCGGAAUUACUGGGCGUAAAGGGCUCGUAGGUGGCCAACUAAGUCAGACGUGAAAUCCCUCGGCUUAACCGGGGAACUGCGUCUGAUACUGGAUGGCUUGAGUUUGGGAGAGGGACGCGGAAUUCCAGGUGUAGCGGUGAAAUGCGUAGAUAUCUGGAGGAACACCGGUGGCGAAGGCGGCGUCCUGGACCAACACUGACACUGAGGCGCGAAAGCUAGGGGAGCAAACAGG